rnacentral:tRNA from 1 species
GGAGAUAUAGCUCAGUGGUAGAGCACUUGCCUAGCAUACAGGAAGCCUUUGGUUCUACCUCUA